rnacentral:ncRNA from 1 species
UGCGGUCACAAAAUACAACGGAUUUUGAGCGUUGGUUUUGUCAAAGGCGCCAUUAAAGCAAAUAACCGAACUCAAUUCGAUUGUGAGUAAUUUCU